rnacentral:lncRNA from 1 species
GGACUAAAUGGGGACCUUUUGUCCCGGUUGGUAACACCAACCGGGACUAAAGGGGGCACAAGGCAAUGACGUGGCGCCACCCCUGGCCACCCCUUUUAGUCCCGGUUGAUAUUACCAACCGGGACUAAAGGUGUUUUUUGUUUUUGUUUUUGUUUUCUUUUUUCUUUUCAUUUCUUUAUUGAUUUUGGUUUUCAAUUGUAUAUGUUCUCCAAUUUAAUCGUAUACGCCGCAAUUAUCCGUAUACAUUGCACCUAUACGAGAGCGUCAUUAUUAUUGCACUCAAAUAAAGUAUGAAACUACAUAUAUAUUAUCCGUAUAAUAUAUAUAUAUCUAUAUAUAUUAUAUAGCUAUACACAUACGUACAUACACAUUACAUUUACAAUAAUAAUAUUAUGUACAAGUAAUAAUCAAGUGUGCUGCCACCGGUUAAUGAUUACAUAAUGUUUGCCCGCCCACUCAAAGCUCAUACAAGUGUUCGUCCUUGUUUGGAAUGGGCUUGAAGCCCUGCGGGUAUAAGUGGAACUCGCCGUCUUCCGGAAUGACAUGAUCGUUGAUAAAUCCGGCGAUCGUCUCCUGGACUCCAAGGAGUAAUGUGUACUCGAACACUUUAUCUUUCAUAUUCCACUCCUUCCAUUUGCAUUAGUUAGAAAAGAUAUUAAUAUACAUAAAAUCUAUUUAGUUUCAACAAAUAAAUAAGAUAUGAAUUUACUGUAUACACAUGCAUGUUACUUACUUUUAGAACACUUUCAGCAGGUUUAAAUAGGCUGCACCGCAUAAAUUCACAAACAUAGUAUCCACAUAGAUUCGUUCCAAACGGCUGCGUGGGCACCCAAGGGAGUAGAACAGGAGGAGGAAGUGACACAUUAAGAUCCGUAUGAUAUUUUUGUUGUAGCCAAGCCCAAGCCCUGCCCAAUAAGACGCUCGUUGAUUAGGUAUAGCUAGCAUAAUAAAGUAAAGGAGCACGCAUCGAUAUUUAAAGUAUGGUAUAUACUUACCUCUGGAUUAUGUCUAUUAUGUCUUGAUAGAGUGCCAGGUCUUUUUUCAUUGAGUCCCACACAUAUAUUCUUUGUUCCGUGAUCUUAAUCUCAAUAAGUAUCCAAUGAUCUCUGCAUUUGUUUAGAGUCAACUUAUAUAUGUAUAUCUUAAUGCCAGAUUAACUAAGACAUGAUAUAACACAACACUUACCCCAUAUUGUAAGGGAAGAGUAUCUUCUCCGUAUGUCUUUGGUUAUAAAAGAACCUCCGGAGGUUCUUCUCCAUUUUCUUAGGCUUCAGAUUCAAUGGAUCUUUACUUUUAGUGUCCUUGUACACGACAUAUGGAUCGAUGAAACCAAUUCGAUUGUCUUUUUUCAAUAUUUGUUCUCUCAUCAUGUGUCUGC